rnacentral:rRNA from 1 species
CAACCUGCCCAUCACUUGGGGAUAACCUUGCGAAAGUAAGACUAAUACCCAAUGAUAUCUCUAGAAGACAUCUGAAGGAGAUUAAAGAUUUAUCGGUGAUGGAUGGGGAUACGUCUGAUUAGCUUGUUGGCGGGGUAACGGCCCACCAAGGCUACGAUCAGUAGGGGUUCUGAGAGGAAGGUCCCCCACAUUGGAACUGAGACACGGUCCAAACUCCUACGGGAGGCAGCAGUGAGGAAUAUUGGUCAAUGGGCGAGAGCCUGAACCAGCCAAGUAGCGUGCAGGAUGACGGCCCUAUGGGUUGUAAACUGCUUUUAUAAGGGAAUAAGGUGAGUCUCGUGAGACUUUUUGCAUGUACCUUAUGAAUAAGGACCGGCUAAUUCCGUGCCAGCAGCCGCGGUAAUACGGAAGGUCCGGGCGUUAUCCGGAUUUAUUGGGUUUAAAGGGAGCGUAGGCCGGAGAUUAAGCGUGUUGUGAAAUGUAGACGCUCAACGUCUGCACUGCAGCGCGAACUGGUUUCCUUGAGUACGCACAAAGUGGGCGGAAUUCGUGGUGUAGCGGUGAAAUGCUUAGAUAUCACGAAGAACUCCGAUUUG